CACGAUGUAGCUCAAUUGGAUAGAGCACCGAAUUUCUAAUUCGGCCCGUCAAGGUUCGAUUCCUUGCAUCGUGA
rnacentral:tRNA from 1 species